GCAAAUCAUUAAGAUAAAUCAAUUCAAGGACUCAAUACAAAGACAAAAACCAAAUCAACAAAAUUGUAUCUCUGUGUGUAGCAAAUUCCCUAAUUCCCCGCCCCCCUUAAAGAAAAUAUUUAAAAUACAACCCAA